ACUUAAACCCGAUCGAAGCGAGAUGCCGAUAUUUUUCUAUCGGCAGAAGCGGGAGCGGGACGAAGC
rnacentral:sRNA from 1 species